rnacentral:rRNA from 1 species
GCAGCCUGAUCCAGCCAUGCCGCGUGGGUGAAGAAGGCCUUCGGGUUGUAAAGCCCUUUUGUUGGGAAAGAAAAGCAGUCGGUUAAUACCCGAUUGUUCUGACGGUACCCAAAGAAUAAGCACCGGCUAACUUCGUGCCAGCAGCCGCGGUAAUACGAAGGGUGCAAGCGUUACUCGGAAUUACUGGGCGUAAAGCGUGCGUAGGUGGUGGUUUAAGUCUGUUGUGAAAGCCCUGGGCUCAACCUGGGAAUUGCAGUGGAUACUGGGUCACUAGAGUGUGGUAGAGGGUAGCGGAAUUCCCGGUGUAGCAGUGAAAUGCGUAGAGAUCGGGAGGAACAUCCGUGGCGAAGGCGGCUACCUGGACCAACACUGACACUGAGGCACGAAAGCGUGGGGAGCAAACAGGAUUAGAUACCCUGGUAGUCCACGCCCUAAACGAUGCGAACUGGAUGUUGGGUGCAAUUUGGCACGCAGUAUCGAAGCUAACGCGUUAAGUUCGCCGCCUGGGGAGUACGGUCGCAAGACUGAAACUCAAAGGAAUUGACGGGGGCCCGCACAAGCGGUGGAGUAUGUGGUUUAAUUCGAUGCAACGCGAAGAACCUUACCUGGUCUUGACAUCCACGGAACUUUCCAGAGA